GAUGAAGAACGUAGCGAAAUGCGAUACUUGGUGUGAAUUGCAGAAUCCCGUGAACCAUCGAGUCUUUGAACGCAAGUUGCGCCCGAAGCCAUUAGGCCGAGGGCACGCCUGCCUGGGCGUCACACGUCGUUGCCCCCCCAUCUACUCCUUCGGGAUUGCGGGGGGCGGAUGAUGGCCUCCCGUGCGCCUCGUCGCGCGGUUGGCAUAAAUGCCAAGUCCUCGGCGACGCACGCCACGACAAUCGGUGGUUGCGAAACCUCGGUUGCCCGUCGUGUGCGGUCGUCGCGCAUCGAGGGCUCGAAAAAAUUGCCGGGCUCCGGCUCGGCUUUCAACGCGACCCCAGGUCAGGCGGGGUUACCCGCUGAAUUUAAGCAUAUCAAUAAGCGGAGA
rnacentral:misc_RNA from 1 species